ensembl:lncRNA
AUGGUUGGGAGCAGCACAGUUAUGAGACAAACACUGUUCUCAGUUUUUAUGUUUGCGAUAAUUACAUUAAAUGGAUAUAGUCAGGCUUCUGGCAAAAAUGAAAAAUGUCCUGCAAAGCAGGAAACCUCAUGUGAGAGUCUGCGCACGACUAAGGGAUUCACUUACCCCGUGCCCUUGAACAUCCCACCCGGAGAUUGCGAAUAUGCGUGGUAUCUGAUGAAUGGAACAUGUGUUGCUCAUUCAGAUGGAAAAAUGUUAGGACCUGUAGUGGCUAUGACCUUCCAGAAUCUGACUGUAAGUGCCUGUGAGGACCUGCAGUGGCAACUUCACUGUGACAACAUUUAGUUUCAUUGUACUAUCAGUUACACAG